GUGUGGUUAGAAGUUAGAACAACGAGAUCCAGAUCAAGUGCCUGAUGCCACGCUUCUCCCUGUGAGAUUUAUCUAUUUUUCCUUUAUAGAUGAUGCAUAUAUUUGUAAUCCUCCAUAGACUUUGCCAAAUGUUAGCAUGGUUCCUUUAUGUUAGUUCUUCCUGUACUUGCUGAGGUGAAGGGAUUAUGAUUUACAAAAUGACACUUAUGCCAAGCAUUUAGGAAAGAAUCAGCUUGUAUGAAAUUAUUAGCAUGCACUACUUCUCAAGAAAAUAUUAGUUAGCAAAUGUGGUAUGAUGUGAUAGUCCUCCUGCCAAGCGCCCUCUUCAGAAAAGAGAAAAUAUUCUAUGAUGACAUGCAAUGUGAUUAGUCAUGAAUGGUACAAGGUUCCUAAAUUGACAUGAUAGCGUGUUUAAUUAUUCUUUAGUUGAUCAUGUUACUUAUUGGCGAAUGCUUAAUUUGGACAUAGGUUCCUCGUUUCCUCACUUAUGUUAUGUGAAAAUGUGAGGGAAUCACUGGGGAACCGCCAUUGGGGAUGCGGGAAUCACAUGCCGCCGCCACCUGGACGCGCUAGCCACUGCUACCACAGGGGACACGGGCGCACGUGGCAGCCGCUGCUGCCACAGGAGCCACGGGCUCAAGUGGAAGUCGUCAUUGCCUCAGGUCCUUCGAUCGUGCGGCUGGCUUCGAUUCUUCAGUGACAGCUGAAUUAGCUGAAGGCGACAAUGAGCAUCAAUUUGUUUUCCUUAGAUGAACAUUCUACAUUAAGUUGUAACUUCUUCAGUACAGGUUGCAUGCAAUUUUUUUAUGGAAAUAAAGUUAUAUUGCAAGAACUGGAACUGAAGGAAGACCCAAACUCUGAGCACCACAUUCUCUAAGGGCCCUUCUAUUUGAAAUACACUUAUGCAGAAGUAUGCCCUUAUUGCUUUUGUAAUGUAUGUGACUUCUUAUUUGAAAUACACUUAUGCAGAAGUAUGACUUCAGUGCUAUUGUACUAUAUGUGACUGACAUCUAGAUGCACUUCUGAAGAUCAUUUGUAUGUCUUGCAUGUGGCAUAAUUGUAUGUGUGACCGACUUCAUUUUUAUACGUGCGUUGCACGUGCACGCUU